AGUGAACGCUGGCGGUAGGCCUAACACAUGCAAGUCGAACGGCAGCACAGUAAGAGCUUGCUCUUACGGGUGGCGAGUGGCGGACGGGUGAGGAAUACAUCGGAAUCUACUUUUUCGUGGGGGAUAACGUAGGGAAACUUACGCUAAUACCGCAUACGACCUACGGGUGAAAGCAGGGGAUCUUCGGCCCUUGCGCGAUUGAAUGAGCCGAUGUCGGAUUAGCUAGUUGGCGGGGUAAAGGCCCACCAAGGCGACGAUCCGUAGCUGGUCUGAGAGGAUGAUCAGCCACACUGGAACUGAGACACGGUCCAGACUCCUACGGGAGGCAGCAGUGGGGAAUAUUGGACAAUGGGCGCAAGCCUGAUCCAGCCAUACCGCGUGGGUGAAGAAGGCCUUCGGGUUGUAAAGCCCUUUUGUUGGGAAAGAAAAGCAGCAGGUUAAUACCCCGCUGUUCCGACGGUACCCAAAGAAUAAGCACCGGCUAACUUCGUG
rnacentral:rRNA from 1 species